rnacentral:rRNA from 1 species
GAUGAACGCUGGCGGCGUGCCUAAUACAUGCAAGUCGAGCGAACGGACGAGAAGCUUGCUUCUCUGAUGUUAGCGGCGGGCGUGUGAGUAACACGUGGAUAACCUACCUAUAAGACUGGGAUAACUUCGGGAAACCGUAGCUAAUACCGUAUAAUAUUUUGAACCGCAUUGUUCAAAAGUGAAAGACGGUGUUUCUGUCACUUAUCGAUGGAUCCGCGCUGCAUUAGCUAGUUGGUAAGGUAACGGCUUACCAAGGCAACCAUGCAUAGCCGACCUGAGAGCGUGAUCGCCCACACUGGAACUGAGACACGGUCCAGAGUCCUACGGGAGGCAGCAGUAGGGAAUCUUCCGCAAUGGGCGGAAGCCUGACGGAGCAACGCCGCGUGAGUGAUGAAAGUCUUCGGAGCGUAAAACUCUGUUAUUAGGGAAGAACAUAUGUGUAAGUAACUGUGCACAUCGUGACGGUACCUAAUCAGAAAGCAACGGCUAACUACGUG